rnacentral:lncRNA from 1 species
GGAGAAAUGGCCUUCUCUGAAGGCGGUUUUCAGUAAAACAGUUCUCUUCAUUGGGGUGGGGAGUAGGGUGAUAUAAACCUUGGAGACUGGGUAGGGGUUUUCAGGGUGAGUGUUUGUCAUUGGCUGGGGCUGAGUGGCUGGGGAUGCUUCAUUUGCAUAAAGAGGAAUUCCCGGUGCUUGCUGGACCUAUCCUUACAGGAGAGGACGUUUUGACCUCACUCUGGCUCCGAAUCAGCUCCCCCAGUUGGUCCAUCUUCUGCUCCGCAUUAUGUCAAUUAGAAGUAAUGGCUCUUCAGGACGUCUGAGCAGCCAUCUGGACUUGUCGACCUUCUUCCUGAGAAAGUAUACCCAAUAGGAAUGACGGGAAAGCACGGCAAGGAGAUAGUCCAGCUCACUCUCAUGGUACGCAGCCACUGGAGCACGCGUGUUAAUGGCAUG